rnacentral:rRNA from 1 species
CCUACGGGAGGCUGCAGUGAGGAAUAUUGGUCAAUGGGCGUAAGCCUGAACCAGCCAAGCCGCGUGUGGGAUGAAGGCUCUAUGGAUCGUAAACCUCUUUUAUAAGGGGAUAAAGUGCGGGACGUGUCCCGUUUUGUAUGUACCUUAUGAAUAAGGAUCGGCUAACUCCGUGCCAGCAGCCGCGGGAAUACGGAGGAUCCGAGCGUUAUCCGGAUUUAUUGGGUUUAAAGGGUGCGUAGGCGGACUGGUAAGUCAGCGGUGAAAUUCCGGGGCUCAACCCUGGAAUUGCCGUUGAAACUGGUAGGCUUAAGUAUGUUUGAGGGGGGCGGAAAGCGAGGGGUAGCGGUGAAAUGCUUA